GCUCUUGUUGCCCAUGCUGGAGUGCAGGGGCGCGAUCUGCCCGUCUAAUUUUUGUAUUUUUAGUAGAGAUGGGGUUUCACCAUGUUGGCCAGGCUCUCAAACCCCUGACCUAGUGAUCCUCCCGCCUCUGCCGCCCAAAUUCCUGGGAUUGCAGUAGUGAGCCACCGCGCCCGGCCUAUUUUUUUCAGUCUUAUCUUCUCUACCUCACCACCUCACAGUAAAGCAUAUACAUAAGAUAUUUUGCCUGCUAUGAAGCCAUUGGAGAAUCAGGUCCAGCUGUGUCCUACAGAUUUAUACCCUCACUUUGGAUGCACUGUGAAUCUUGAAACAAGUAUGUAAAUAGAAUCCAGCCCCUCUCUGCCACAGCCUCAGAGCAGGAUUGGUAACUCCAAAAGACACCAGGACACAUCCUAAUUUUCUUAAAUUUUAUUUAUUUGUUUAUUUAUUUAUUAUUAUUAUACUUUAAGUUUUAGGGUACAUGUGCACAAUGUGCAGGUUAGUUACAUAUGUAUACAUGUGCCAUGCUGGUGUGCUGCACCCACUGACUCGUCAUCUAGCAUUAGGUAUAUCUCACAAUGCUAUCCCUCCCCUCUUCCCCCCACCCCACAACAGUCCCCAGAGUGUGAUGUUCCCUUUCCUGUGUCCAUGUGUUCUCAUUGUUCAAUUCCCACCUAUGAGUGAGAAUAUGCGCUGUUUGGUUUUUUGUUCUUGCGAUAGUUUACUGAGAAUGAUGAUUUCCAAUUUCAUCCAUGUCCCUACAAAGGACAUGAACUCAUCAUUUUUUAUGGCUGCAUAGUAUUCCAUGGUGUAUAUGUGCCACAUUUUCUUAAUUCAGUCUAUCAUUGUUGGACAUUUGGGUUGGUUCCAAGUCUUUGCUAUUGUGAAUAAUGCCGCAAUAAACAUACGUGUGCAUGUGUCUUUAUAGCAGCAUGAUUUAUAUCCUUUGGGUAUAUACCCAGUAAUAGGAUGGCUGGGUCAAAUAGUAUUUCUACUUCUAGAUCCCUGAGAAAUCGCCACACUGACUUCCACAAUGGUUGAACCAGUUUACAGUCCCACUAACAGUGUAAAAGUGUUCCUAUUUCUCCACAUCCUCUCCAGCACCUGUUGUUUCCUGACUUUUUGAUGAUUGCCAUUCUAACUGGUGUGAAAUGGUAUCUCAUUGUGGCUUUGAUUUGCAUUUCUCUGAUGGCCAGUGAUGGUGAGCAUUUUUUCAUGUGUUUUUUGACUGCAUAAAUGUCUUCUUUUGAGAAGUGUCUGUUCAUGUCCUUUGACCACUUUUUGAUGGGGUUGUUUGUUUUUUUCUUGUAAAUUUGUUUGAGUUCAUUGUAGAUUCUAGAUAUUAGCCCUUUGUGAGAUGAGUAGGUUGCGAAAAUUUUCUCCCAUUUUGUAGGUUGCCUUUUCACUCUGAUUGUAGUUUCUUUUGCUGUGCAGAAGCUCUUUAGUUUACUUAGAUCCCAUUUUUCAAUUUUGGCUUUUGUUGCCAUUGCUUUUUGUGUUUUAGGCAUGAAGUCCUUGCCCAUGCCUAUGUCCUGAAUGGUAAUGCCUAGGUUUUCUUCUAGGGUUUUUAUGAUUUUAGGUCUAACAUUUAAGUCUUUAAUCCAUCUUGAACUGAUUUUUGUAAAAGGUGUAAGGAAGGGAUCCAGUUUCAGCUUUCUACAUAUGGCUAGCCAGUUUUCCCAGCACCAAUUAUUAAAUAGGGAAUCCUUUCCCCAUUGCUUGUUUUUCUCAGGUUUGUCAAAGAUCAGAUAGUCGUAGAUAUGUGGCAUUAUUUCUGAGGGCUCUAUUCUGUUCCAUUGAUCUACAUCUCUGUUUUGGUACCAGUACCAUGCUGUUUUGGUUACUGUAGCCUUGUAGUAUAGUUUGAAGUCAGGUAGUGUGAUGCCUCCAGCUUUGUUCUUUUGGCUCAGGAUUGACUUGGCAAUGCGGGCUCUUUUUUGGUUCCAUAUGAACUUUAAAGUAGUUUUUUUCCAGUUCUGUGAAGAAAGUCAUUAGUAGCUUGAUGGGGAUGGCAUUGAAUCUGUAAAUUACUUUGGGCAGUAUGGCCAUUUUGACGAUAUUGAUUCUUCUUACCCAUGAGCAUGGAAUGUUCUUCCAUUUGUUUGUAUCCUUUUUUAUUUCCUUGAGCAGUGGUUUGUAGUUCUCCUUGAGGUCCUUCACAUCCCUUGUAAGUUGGAUUCCUAGGUAUUUUAUUCUCUUUGAAGCAAUUGUGAAUGGGAGUUCACUCAUGAUUUGGCUGUUUGUCUGUUGUUGGUGUAUAAGAAUGCUUGUAAUUUUUGUACAUUGAUUUUGUAUCCUGAGACUUUGCUGAAGUUGCUUAUCAGCUUAAGGAGAUUUUGGGCUGAGACAAUGGGGUUUUCUACAUAUACAAUCAUGUCGUCUGCAAACAGGGACAAUUUGACUUCCUCUUUUCCUAAUUGAAUACCCUUUAUUUCCUUCUCCUGCCUAAUUGCCCUGGCCAGAACUUCCAACACUAUGUUGAAUAGGAGUGGUGAGAGAGGGCAUCCCUGUCUUGUGCCAGUUUUCAAAGGGAAUGUUUCCAGUUUUUGCCCAUUCAGUAUGAUAUUGGCUGUGGGUUUGUCAUAGAUAGCUCUUAUUAUUUUGAGAUACAUCCCAUCAAUACCUAAUUUAUUGAGAGUUUUUAGCAUGAAGAGUUGUUGAAUUUUGUCAAAGGCCUUCACCACACCUAUUCCAAAAUUGACCACAUAGUUGGAAGUAAAGCUCUCCUCAGCAAAUGUAAAAGAACACAAAUUAUAACAAACUAUCUCUCAGACCACAGUGCAAUCAAACUAGAACUCAGGAUUAAGAAUCUCACUCAAAACCACUCAACUACAUGGAAACUGAACAACCUGCUCCUGAAUGACUACUGGGUACAUAAUGAAAUGAAGGCAGAAAUAAAAAUGUUCUUUGAACCGAUGAGAACAAAGACACAACAUACCAGAAUCUCUGGGACACAUUCAAAUCAGUGUGUAGAGGGAAAUUUAUAGCACUAAAUGCCCACAAGAGAAAGCAGGAAAGAUCCAAAAUUGACACCCUAACAUCACAAUUAAAAGAACUAGAAAAGCAAGAGCAAACACAUUCAAAAGCUAGCAGAAGGCAAGAAAUAACUAAAAUCAGAGCAGAACUGAAGGAAAUAGAGACACAAAAAACCCCUCAAAAAAUUAACGAAUCCAGGAGCUGGUUUGUUGCAAGGAUCAACAAAAUUGAUAGACUGCUAGCAAGACUAAUAAAGAAGAAAAGAGAGAAGAAUCAAAUAGAUGCAAUAAAAAAUGAUAAAGGGGAUAUCACCACCGAUCCCACAGAGAAACAAACUACCAUCAGAGAAUACUACAAACACCUCUAUGCAAAUAAACUAGAAAAUCUAGAAGAAAUGGAUAAAUUCCUCGACACAUACACUCUCCCAGGACUAAACCAGGAAGAAGUUGAAUCUCUAAAUAGACCAAUAACAGGAGCGGAAUUGUGGCAAUAAUCAAUUACUUACCAACCAAAAAGAGUCCAGGACCAGAUGGAUUCACAGCCGAAUUCUACCAGAGGUACAAGGAGGAACUGGUACCAUUCCUUCUGAAACUAUUCCAAUCAAUAGAAAAACAGGGAAUCCUCCCUAACUCAUUUUGUGAGGCCAGCAUCAUCCUGAUACCAAAGCUGGGCAGAGACACAGCCAAAAAAGCGUAUUUUAGACCAAUAUCCUUGAUGAACAUUGAUGCAAAAAUCCUCAAUAAAAUACUUGCAAACCGAAUCCAGCAGCACAUCAAAAAGCUUAUCCACCAUGAUCAAGUGGGCUUCAUCCCUGGGAUGCAAGGCUGGUUCAAUAUAUGCAAAUCAAUAAAUGUAAUCCAGCAUUUAAACAGAACCAAAGAUAAAAACCACAUGAUUAUCUCAAUAGAUAUCCUAAUUUUGAUGCCAGAAGAAGGUUUAGAUAUCUUAGUCUUUGAUGACAUAACAUUGUAUGUCAAUUCUAGCAUGGCUCAGUAAAAGAAUGAGGCAAUAUGAAAGGCCCAGGGACCUGUCUGUACAUAAGAGUAGUUCUCCCAACUAUCAUAGAUAGCCACACCUUUCAGCACAAAUGCUGAAAACCCCACUGUUUGCAAGUCAUGAAGAAAAUAUUUGUCUUAGUGCCAGCCCCCAAAGUCCAUGACCUUGGAGACGAACAGAUCUCCCCAGGAUACAGAUAGAACUCCAGUCUACUAGUUCUCCUGGUAACUGGACUGUAAAAUUCAGUUUUUAUUGUGCACCAAGUUUAGCCAGGAGACCUACUUAGAACUCACAAAACUGUAAUCCCAAAGGCAAUAUCUUCAGCACAAAAGCCUAAUAGAGAAAAACUUCAAACCUAAACCAGUCUGUAAGACUCAAUGCAAACAUAUAAUCAGAUAAAGAAUAUUAAUAAAACUAAUAAAGAAUAUUAAUACAUCUUUUAAAAAAUUACAAAAAUGAAUUUCCUGAAACAGAAUUAAACAUGAUUAUUAUAAAACACUCCUUA
ensembl:lncRNA TTTY10 testis expressed transcript, Y-linked 10